AACGCCUAGAAAUCCCAACCAGGACUAAGCAGUAGUUUGGUAACACCUCUCAUCCGACCUGCUGCAAUGGGACGGGUUUCUGCUUCUCUGUUUUGGAGGUGGGAUCUAACUAUAUAGCCCAGGUUGGCCUGGAACUAGAAAACCCCAGUCUCCUGAGUGUUGAGAUUAUAGACAGAUACCACCAUGCUUGGUCUCAAAUUUAGGCUUUAAAGCCAUUUCCCAGCUUCCGUAUGCUCUAGCAGGGAAAGAGGUAUGUAUGCCUAGAACUCCACGUGCAGCGGGAUUGAACAGGAGUACAGUGAGGGAAUGGAUACUGGCAGUGAAGGGGGAGGUAGGUCCGUGAAUCUCUGCUCCCCAGAGGAAGACUGCCAAGAAGCCAGGAGGCUCUGGAAUGAGGGAUCCUGGCUAGGAAAAACAAAACAAGACAAUCACAUAGUAGAAGAGGAGGCAGGUGUUCCUGAAGGGAAGAAAAGCAAAGAGGUUAUUUUGAAAAGAACAGACCCAAAGGACAGCAAUGGGGGCUUUAGAGGUGGGAGCCAAGGUGCCGAGUCACCCAAGGGACUCAGUGGAGGGUGGGCGGGCAGAGGUGGGGACAUGACAUCAUGAGGCAGGUCACGAUUCGAUUCCCUUCCAGGCAGAGAGAGGAAAGGAGCCCCAGAGUUCCCUACCUGUUUCUCGCCCACAUUUUUACCUGGUGUCUUGUCAUGGAAGGACAAUUCCUACUGAGUAAACAGUUUAGGCUGUGCAUUCAUUGCUCUUCCCUGUGUACUAGGGGCGGAUGUGUGUGUAUGGUGGGUUGGCCAAGCAAUUUUCUAAAACAGUCGAGGGUCAGUUUUUGAAAAUAAAAUAUUUUCGGGAUCUCUAGCCAACUAGGAGGAAGAAACAGGCCUUGCUCCGCAGAGUCCCCUUGAGAUCUUAGAACUGGUGGUUUGUUCAGGAAUCUUGAGAAUAAAACAGGACAGGGUCGAGGGGCUGGAGCAGAGGAAAAGCACUGUCAAUGCCAAGGCCAGUCCGUUCACCCACAAGGUAGUUAUGUGAGGAAAGUGGAGAAAAAAAGCUACGGUUAGGGCGACAAGUGGGACUUACUUGUACUCCAUUUCAGAAAUGACAAGAAGGGAAAGGGGUCAGAAAAAAAAGGACAACCUCUUCCUCUUUGGGAAGCAAGUCUGAAUCCUUCAAAAGAUAUCAAUGGAGAGACUGUUGUUCAUACCCACUUAAUCAUCAGGUUCCCCAGAGAGGCCGUACAUCAACCAGGACAAUGUAGGCAGGUGAGUUUCUUCAACAAAGACCCCAGGUAGCAGCUUCUACCACAACAGCAGCAUGAAGGUCACGCCAAGUGACUGCCAGGAAUGUGGAGUAUUCCUUCCAGUUUUAUGAAAACGGGGUCUCUUAUUCCUUCUUAGGGGGCAGGGAAGGGCUACACAUUUCCUGUGUUGGGGCCCAGACUGGGGUUGUAAUAGACCUUAUGUGGGAUUGCAGUUUCACUGACAGACCUGAGGGGUGGGCUGUAGGGCCAACCACAGCUGAGGAACUUAGUGACCUCCAAGAGGAGUCCCAUAGAGACCUCUGGCCCUGUUGACCCCUGAAGCUACAGAGCACAGGCUGCCCUUCAGCAGUGAGCCUUAGGAAAGGGUAAGACUGCUGGGAAUCUCUGCUUUCCUACUUCUCCCCAGGAUGGGGAGAUUGCUUCCCUCAGGGUAAUAACAAGCUACUACAGAGUACCUGAGUCUGAAUCCGGUUCAGGCCACGGACCCAGAGCACCUGGCCCCUGCGCAGCUCCAUCUCAGCAAGAUCAAUCUCCUCCAGCCCCUCGGCAUCCUUGGUGAUCUCCUCCUUGGCAGCGCCAUGCCCAGCCUCCUUCAGGAACUUCAGAGACUGGAGCUGAGAGGCCCGCAGCCCCAGGAUUUGUAGAGGGCAACCCACACUCACCUGACCCCACAGAAGUUCUCCAAUCCCUAUGAAGAGACACCACAUCCACUGCUCCAUGCUGAGGUCUGUACUCUGAUCCACGUGUCCCAGAAGCCAGAAGAGGGUGUCAGGUCCCCUGGAGCUAGAGUUACAGGUGAUGGUGGGUCAAAUGAUAAGGGUGCUGGAACUCAAACGCUGGUCCUCUCUUACUGCUGAGCUGGGUCUCCAGCCCCAGGAGGAUGUGCUUUUGUGCUGUGACCUGCUCAUAGUCCUUUGUAACCACGUGCCUUGGUGAAUCUCUGAUUACGGCAAGAAGGAAGGGACUCAUCUUCCCACUACCAGGCAGCUGUGCUCCUGACCCUACUUCCUGUAAUGGGAGCCCAGGCCUUGGUUAGCAUAGCAGCUGCACAUGCGCCAACCCAUCACUCUUUCCUCUGUGAAUCAGGCGACAUUUCAAGCAUAAACCCAUUCAGAACAAAAGGGCAGGGGUAGGGAAGAGGGUGGGGAGCUAAUAUUACUUGUACAUACACAUUUUACGUGUGCAGGCAUGGAAAUGGGGUAGAAGAUAGUGGCCCUUCUCUUGGCCACUAUACGAACUGCUCAGUACGUUUAGAAAGAUCAUGAAAGUAUUCUACAAGCCACAUUUGCGGGUCAUUUGCUACCUUGCCCUGGAGCACCCGACUGGGCUCAGUUCUAGAACAAGGUGCACGUGGAAGCAAACCGAGAGUCCCAGCCUGUUUACUCACAGCCGUGGUCCCCAGAACUCCCUCUCUCCUCAUCUUGGGCACAUCAGAGGCCUGGCUCCCAGCUUCUGCUCUCCAGCCCCCAGCCCUCCUACCCCAGCUCCAGACAGAAUCUCACCUGGCAGAAGAACGUGCCUAAAACCACGGAGCAGAAGAUGAUGUUGCGGUAGAUACCCGCAAAGACGUUCUUCUCGCCGUGGAUCUUGCGGGAGUUGAUCUCGUUGAAGAGCUGCAUCAGCACAAAGGUGUUGAAGACAAUGGUGUAGUGCUGGCUGGGUGGGGAAUGGAGAGGCGCCUUCCUGCCACUAUCAAUGUCGAACAGUGUAUCGCCUAGUGGGGCAGGACAAGUUUUAGAGGACGACCGUUAUGGCGAUGUCUUGUCUGUGCUGUAACAAACAAAGCUUGCCUGACUCAGAGUGUGGAGCUAGCCUCUAGUGAGCCACAGACGGCACACACCUUUAAUCCCAGCACUUGGGAGACAAAGGCAGUGGGAUCUCUGUGAGUUCAAGACCAUGCUGGGCUACUUGAAAUUGAGCCAAUCUAAAAGAGAAACAGAGCCAGGCUGUGGCUCACACCUUUAAUCCCUGUACCUGGGAGUCACACACUUUUAACUGCAGCACUAGGGAGGUGGAGUCAGGAAGGGAAUUGGCUGGGCAGAGAGACUAGUAUAAGGUGGGAGGAGACAAGAGCUCAAGUCAUUCAAUCUGAGGACUCAUGGAGAUAGGAUCUUGCCCACUUUGGCCUGAGGAUUCAAUAGAAGUAAAAAGUCUCUCUAGUGGCUGGCUCCUUUACUUCUCUAAUCUUUCAGCAUUUGCUCCAAUAUCUGACUCUGGGUUGUUAUUUUUAAGCCCAAUUAGAAUUCUCACUAUGGACUGAGGUCUCAGUGAGGGUUCAGGCUAAGACAGAACAUGUUAGGACAACCAUGCUGGUAGCUUCUGACCGUUAGAAAGUCCAUUUUAACUGGCCAGUUUCUGAGUUAUGCUAGUUAUUGAAUAUUUUGUUCAAUAAAACAUUUUACAAAUCA